GUGAGUCAUCGAAUCUUUGAACGCACAUUGCGCCCUCUAGUAUUCUGGAGGGCAUGCCUGUUCGAGCGUCACUACAACACUCAAGCUCUGCUUGGCGUUGGGGCGAUACGACGAAUUCCUUUCGACGUAGGCCCCGAAAAUCAGUGGCGGGACUGCGAGGAACCCGGACGAAGUAACUACUACAGCGUCUAGGGAUGCCGAGCUGAUCUCUAGCCAUAAACCGGGCCUAAAAACCCACAUUUAACCAGUGUUGACCUCGGAUCAGGUAGGAAUACCCGCUGAACUUAAGCAUAUCAAUAAGCGGAGGA
rnacentral:misc_RNA from 1 species